AAAUGCAGAGAAGUCUAGGAACAGGAAGAUGUUUUCAGAGUAAGGCAUAAAUUGGUUCGGAUUUCUUCACUCAGAGGCCAAGAUCGGUGUCCUCUUCCUGUGCAGUGAUUCAGUGAUUUGUCAUUGAUGAGGAUCUAUUCAGGCCAAGAUCUACUGGACAGGCUGCUUGCAUGUCGACCUUGGAGACUGAAAUCACAGGAUCAUCUGUGGCUGCAGGUUCCUCCAUGUUUGAAUGGUCAAAAUAAGCACACAACGCAAUGAACUUGUCUGAAAGCAAAGCCCCAUUGUUGCCCAUGUUGCUUGAUUUUAAUUUAAAUGAGGUGUUGGCAUUCGAGUCUUGUCACAAUUAUCGAGCAUCCUUCAUUGACUCAGGUUUAGUCUAGAAUUGCCACGUCACCUGCGAGAUGGCUUCCAGAGAUUGUAUCUGGACCUUUUGUGACUUUCUUGGUAACCGGACUUGAAUCCUUCUGACUUGCCCUCAGCAGAGUGCCCUCACCAGGGCUUCUGAUAGGGAUGAAUCUGAAUGAUUGUGUGAAACAUACUAAUUUACAUCUGUUUUAAUAAGCCCUCCCAGUCACGUCUGUUCGAAUUUAUAUACACGCCCUGUUCCAAUGUGUUGAACAACUAGUUCCAGAUCUUGACCACCUUCUGGAUGAAAAUUAUUUCCUAAUCCCGUCGCAGAUCCUCCUAGCAUAUUCCUUAGUUUAUGGCACCUUUGCUUAUUAAAUGAGAUCCUUCCUAUUUACUGUACUUAAUAAAUUUAAACCUCUGCAUAUUCUGUAAUACAAUUUAGUGCUCAAAGCUACAUGGAAUAUUUAAGCUCUCAUCUAACUAAUGCCAUUAUAUUGUAACCUUCCUUAUGUUCUCUGUU